GACGAACGCUGGCGGCGUGCUUAACACAUGCAAGUCGAACGGAAAGGCCCUGCUUUUGUGGGGUGCUCGAGUGGCGAACGGGUGAGUAACACGUGAGUAACCUGCCCUUGACUUUGGGAUAACUUCAGGAAACUGGUGCUAAUACCGGAUAGGAGCUCCUGCUGCAUGGUGGGGGUUGGAAAGUUUCGGCGGUUGGGGAUGGACUCGCGGCUUAUCAGCUUGUUGGUGGGGUAGUGGCUUACCAAGGCUUUGACGGGUAGCCGGCCUGAGAGGGUGAACGGCGACAAUGGGACUGAGAUACGGCCCAGACUGCUACAGGAGGCAGCAGUGGGGAAUAUGGCACAAUGGGGGGAAGCCUGAGGAAGAAACGCCGGGAGCGGGAUGAAGGCCUUCGGGUUGGAAACCGCUGUAGGCUGUGACGAAGCGGGAGUGGCGGUAAUGAGUAAAGAAGCACCGGCUAACUACGUG
rnacentral:rRNA from 1 species